CCCCAACCCCCGUGCCCUUUGCCGCCCUCGAGACCUCCCCCUCCAUCGCUCUCCCUCCAUACCCAAUCUCUCUCCCUGGGCCUCUCCCCAAUCGAUCCACCUUUCUUCCGAAGCUCCUCGUUAGGGUACUUGUUCGCCUUCCCUGAGGCUUCGCCACUGUUCCCUCCUGCCAGUCCGUGAUCAACCUGGCGCCUUCUCCAAGCAUUUAAAUAUACAUCAGGUGGUAACUUAUUAAUGAAAAUUUAUAGAAUGUUUACUGGAGUGGCUUAUGGGAUAAAUUAAACAUAAAUCUGAGGACCUCUAGACCUGGUUCGGAUGAGAAUUCAGCACACUUACAGGCUUCAUGGCUCAAAAUUCGUCUCGUCUUCAUCGCUUACUCACAUUAUUGGACACUGGAUCGACUCAGGCAACAAGGCUUGCUGCAGCGCGACAAAUUGGGGAUAUUGCGAAGUUGUACCCUCAGGACUUGAACUCUCUUCUGAAAAAGGUUUCUGGAUACCUACGAAGUAAGAAUUGGGAUACAAGGGUAGCUGCUGCUCUGGCCCGGUGCAUGCA